UUAAACAGGUCUCAAAACUUGAGCAAA
rnacentral:piRNA from 1 species